rnacentral:rRNA from 1 species
UACAGAGGGGGCAAGCGUUGUUCGGAAUUACUGGGCGUAAAGGGCGCGUAGGCGGCCCGCUAAGUCGAACGUGAAAUCCCCGAGCUCAACUCGGGAACUGCGUCCGAUACUGGCGGGCUUGAAUCCGGGAGAGGGAUGCGGAAUUCCAGGUGUAGCGGUGAAAUGCGUAGAUAUCUGGAGGAACACCGGUGGCGAAGGCGGCAUCCUGGACCGGCAUUGACGCUGAGGCGCGAAAGCUAGGGGAGCAAACGGGAUUAGAAAC